GGGCCCGCACAAGCGGUGGAGCAUGUGGUUUAAUUCGAUGAUACGCGAGGAACCUUACCAGGGCUUAAAUGUAGUGGGACAGGUCUAGAGAUAGACCCUUCUUCGGACUCAUUACAAGGUGCUGCAUGGUUGUCGUCAGCUCGUGCCGUGAGGUGUCAGGUUAAGUCCUAUAACGAGCGCAACCCCUAUCGUUAGUUGCCAGCGAGUAAUGUCGGGAACUCUAACGAAACUGCCGGUGCAAACCGUGAGGAAGGUGGGGAUGACGUCAAAUCAUCACGGCCCUUACGUCCUGGGCUACACACGUGCUACAAUGGUCGGUACAGAGAGCAGCCACUACGCGAGUAGGAGCGAAUCUUCAAAACCGAUCUCAGUUCGGAUCGCAGUCUGCAACUCGACUGCGUGAAGCUGGAAUCGCUAGUAAUCG
rnacentral:rRNA from 1 species